GCUUGCGGUGGCCGGUGCGGUCCGUGGCUCCCGUGGUCGCGAGUUCGAGGUUUCCCCAGGCGCCGGGAUAGCCCGCUCAGGUAUCACAUCGUCUGGCAGCGACCGUGGGUUGAAGUCUGCUGGAAUACGCGCACGAGACUACAGCACUGAGGUGAACGGUG